rfam:Lottia gigantea unplaced genomic scaffold LOTGIsca_59, whole genome shotgun sequence.
GAUAACUGGCUUGUGGCAGCCAAGCGUUCUUAGCGACGUUGCUUUUUGAUCCUUCGAUGUUGGCUCUUUCUAUCAUUGCGAAGCAGAAUUCGCCAAGCGUAGGAUUGUUCACCCACCAACAGGGAGCGUGAGUUGGAUUUAGUCCGUCGUGAGACAGGAU